AGGUUAGAAAAAGACACAAAAUGUUACUGUCUCGCUCCAACACCUAGGGGAGAACAAAGAACGCAAGUACCACAGUGGUGGUAGGUUAGAAAAAGACAAAAGGUCAAGUCAAAUUGCAAAACUGGACAUUCGGGAUGGGCUCGCUCCAACGCCGCCCUACACCGAGGGGGGAGAACAAAGAACGCAGCAAGUACGACAGUGGCAGGUUAGAAAAA